rnacentral:lncRNA from 1 species
GGAAUAAUCUACAAAAGAAUUUUCAAGGAUUUUGUCCAGUAACACUGGCCCAGAAGCAAAAUAUGUAGAGUGUUGUAGUGAGUCAAGAUGGUGAAAUGAACAGACAAAAAAAAAAAAAAAAAAAAAAAAGAUCAAGAUUGAUGAGUCAGCAGAAAUGAGUGACCUUGAUGGUCUGUAGGCAAAGGUGGGAGGGAAAUCCAGCUAGGAGUAGACUUGCAUGGAAGAUUGUAAGACUCCAAAGGGCAAACAGUGUGUGGUGAGAAGGCCUGUCAUUCCUGAGAACAAUAUGCUCUGCUUGCAGUUUGACUUCUCUGUACUAUUACUGAGCAUUUCUCUGUGUUAUUAUUAAUUAGUAAUAGUAUACAGUGUAUAUACAUCUCUCACUAUCUGUCAGGCACUGUUAAGUGUUUUACUUAACCUACUCAUUUAAAAUUCCUGAUGACCCAGUGAAGUAGUUACCAUUACUAUGAGGGAGUGGCAAAGAAGUUUUGUAACUAUAAGGGACUGCAUUAAUCAGCCUUUGUAGGCUUUGUGAUGCUGAAUCUUCACCACAACAAAACUAAUUUUUCAUGUC